rnacentral:tRNA from 1 species
GGGAGCUUAGUUAAAUGGUAUAACAUCGGUCUCCAAAACCGAGGUCGUGGGUUCGAUUCCUACAGCUCCUGC